rnacentral:misc_RNA from 1 species
UUAAAGUUGAAAGCGGUUGGCAUUAUUUGUCAAACAUGGAACUGUAUUUUCUAAAAUUUAUAGCAACGAAUUUUUCCUAUUUUUGAUGCCAUUUUUAAGAAAGCUGGUCAGAAAAAAAUUUUGCUUUUGCUUCUCGCUGACAUCUGGAUGCAUCAUAGUUGCAUUCUACACACUGUUUUUCGGGUUCAUUAACGCAGGAACCACUGUGGAUGAGGUUAUAUACAACAACACACUCAAGACUGAUGUAUAUGCGAAGUGGUUCAAUGUAUUUCAUAUAGCCCUGAUGAUCGCAGCUGCAGUUAUCCUGCUGGUCUCUGUUAUGACGAAGUACUUAAGGAUCGUUUUCGUCUGGAUGGCCAUGUUCAUCAUUCAUAUGAUAUCCUACUACAUCGUCUUCAAUGCUUUGAUUAAUGUUCGCAAUCCGUUCUUUGAAAGUGCUGUCUAUGCGAUUAUUUAUGUCUUCGUGAAUUUAGUGACGUUGGGCAUCGAUUUAUUUUGUGUGCUCAAAGUCUACACGUAUUAUUAUGUAAAAACGCAUCCAGAUGAAUUCAGACCAGUUUGUGUGGAUAAAUGAGAGGAUGUCCUUAAAAAUUAAAUGGAGAUCAGCGAAAUUGAAUUAUAGGAUGAUGAAAAGCAAUAGCUUUUCGUGCUCUCUACCACAUGUUCACCAACAUCUUGAUGAGAACUGAAAACGAUUCCACGCGUGCCUGACAAACACGACACACAUCGGGCUGGAAAUUCUAGGCUAAUGCUAAUGAGGCCAUAAUACAGAUUGCUUAAGUUGUGAUUAUGCAAAAAAGUUAAUGCCACAAUAAAGAAGAUGUGGUGGAAAAUGUGAA